GACGAACGCUGGCGGCGUGCCUAAUACAUGCAAGUCGAGCGAGCGGCGGACGGGUGAGUAAUGUAUGGGGACUGCCCGAUAGCGGGGGAUAACUACUGGAAACGGGGGCUAAUCCCGCAUACUAUCGGAUAACCCAUAUGGGAUGAGCUAGUAGGUGGGGUGAAGGCUCACAUAGGCGACGAUAUCUAGCUGGUCUGAGAGGAUGAUCAGCAACACUGGGAAUGAGAAACGGCCCAGACGCCUACGGAGGCAGCAGUGGGGAAUAGUGGAGAAUGGGCGCAAGCCUGAUGCAGCCAUGCCGCGUGUAUGAAGAAGGCCUUAGGGUUGUAAAGUACUUUCAGCGGGGAGGCGUUACCCGCAGAAGAAGCACCGGCUAACUCCGUGCCAGCAGCCGCGGUAAUAC
rnacentral:rRNA from 1 species